AACGCGAAGAUUCAGGCUCGGCGGCCUACGCUGAGCGCGGGGUUUCCCACGGCCCCCAAAGCACAAGUAUGUAGACAAAGGUUGGAGUUCGGCCGGAGGCCCAUCUCAGUAAUGAUCCCCUUUCGGAAGGGAACCUGCGGAAGGAUAAUUA
rnacentral:rRNA from 1 species